UUGGAGGGCAAGUCUGGUGCCAGCAGCCGCGGUAAUUCCAGCUCCAAUAGCGUAUAUUAAAGUUGUUGCAGUUAAAAAGCUCGUAGUUGAAUUUCGGGGUCAGUAGGCUGGUCGUGCCACCGGUACGUACUGGUCUCACUGAUUCCUCCUUCCUGAUGAGCUGUAAUGCCAUUAAUUUGGUGUUGCAGGGAAUCUGGACUGUUACUUUGAAAAAAUUAGAGUGUUUAAAGCAGGCUAACGCUUGAAUACAUUAGCAUGGAAUAAUGAAAUAGGACGUUCGAUCCUAUUUUGUUGGUUUCUAGGAUUGACGUAAUGAUUAAUAGGGAUAGUUGGGGGCAUUAGUAUUCAAUUGUCAGAGGUGAAAUUCUUGGAUUUAUUGAAGACUAACUACUGCGAAAGCAUUUGCCAAGGAUGUUUUCAUUAAUCAAGAACGAAAGUUAGGGGAUCGAAGACGAUCAGAUACCGUCGUAGUCUUAACCAUAAACUAUGCCGACUAGGGAUCGGAUGAUGUUAAUUUUUUAAUGACUCAUUCGGCGCCUUACGGGAAAC
rnacentral:rRNA from 1 species